GACGGAGGAUGCAAGUGUUAUCCGGAAUCACUGGGCGUAAAGCGUCUGUAGGUGGUUUAAAAAGUCUACUGUUAAAAAUUGAAGCUUAACUUCAAAGAUGCCGUGGAAACUUUUAAACUUGAGUAUGAUAGGGGUAGAGGGAAUUUCCAGUGGAGCGGUGAAAUGCGUAGAUAUCGGAAAGACCACCAAUGGCGAAGGCACUCUACUGGGCCAUUACUGACACUGAGAGACGAAAGCUAGGGGAGCGAAUGGG
rnacentral:rRNA from 1 species